GCUUUUAAAUGGAAAACAGUCUUCCACUGGACUUAGGAUCCAGCCUCUCUUGGUGCAAAUCCAAGUUAAAGCU
rnacentral:tRNA from 1 species